CACUCGCGUUAGGGAUUGUAGCGGCAUCCUUUUUUUUAUUUACAAAUAGGCCGUUAUUACGAGAAGUGAGGCACAAGCGACGAAGUAAUCUCUUUGGUUGGGAAGAUUGCUUCACUGCGUUCGCAAUGACGUUGGGCAAGAACAAAAAAAAGAUAUAGCGGAAAGCCCGACCGGAG
rnacentral:sRNA from 1 species